UCUUUCUGUACUUGUUAUUUGUUGCUGUCCGCCUUAUCAACACUUGCUCAUUGACAGGAUGACACCGGCGCCAGUAACCCGGUGGUUGAAGAGGUAACGUCACUUUCCUCCGACUCGGAGCCCUUACCACAGCUGAAAGUCCAAAGGGUAACCCGGAAAGUAAGCUUUUCACAUCCUUUAGGUCAUCAAGACCCUCAAUUUCUUUUGAAGCGACAGGUUCACGAAAACCGGCGUCAUACCCGGACCAAUAAGGACUCCAAUCUCUCCGCCGGGUUACCCGACGCAACAAGGAAGCGUCGCAUUGAGGAGACCUCCCCUCUUCGGGUGACUCCAUGCAGUCAAAUCUGCCGGCCUUCAAGACUGCGCCCGGUGCCCAGGCAAAGCUCACAAAAAGAGCGAAGAAGACCAGGUCAGCCGGAGUGCCGGACUUACCUGACCCGGAGGUGACGGCUGAAGAGCCGCCGGCUGCCUCCGCCCCCGAAGCCACCACUUCAAUGGACACGGCACCUGAGGCCUCUGCCCCGAUUACCAAGGCAACGACCGAAGCUUCGGUUAAUCCGGAGGCCUCCGGCUCAGCUCCACCAGCAGACGACCCGGACGUGGUAAUCACCCGGACGGAGUUCGUUGAGCCGGGGAGACCGACCGUGUUGGCCAAAUGCUCCGCGAAGGGGGAGC